AAAUCAGCCUUAAGGCUCGUCCAAACAGUGCUCUGUUCCGUUUUAAACACUCAGAGGUCUGAGGACAUCUUUAGUCUGGAGCCUCCUCGACCCACACGAUGCUCCCUCUGUUGUUUAGUCACACUGAGAAGGUGACAGAAUAAUUACAGCCACAUGGCACCGAGUGGGAGAGAGCUUAGAAAGUUUUUUGUUUCUAUGUCAAAGAAACAAAAGGCUCCCUGCUCCCCUCCUGCACAUCACGUUGAAAUGAAAGCCAGCUAGUGAGAAAAUGCUCUGAGCUUCACACUGCUGCAUCAUGUUUAACGAAGUAUCAGGGCCACGAUGUAGAAGAAUUUCUAGAUUUUACAAGAAUGAAGUUGUAAUAUUAGUAAGAGCUACAAUAUAAACGCUCAGCAUUAACAGUGAUAGUUUCUCUUUUGUUUCUUCUGUUUUCAUGUUUAGUAAUUGUUAAAUGAAAAUGAAGAAUGUUGAAUGUUAGGUCCUGAAUAUAAGUUGCUCCAGUGUAUAUGUGAGUUUUUUGGGGCCCCAGAUGAAAAAUAAAAACUUGAACUGUCA